AACAGGAUUAGAUACCCUGGUAGUCCACGCCGUAAACGAUGUCAACUAGUUGUUCGUUUCAUAAACGAAGUGAGUAACGCAGCUAACGCACUAAGUUGACCGCCUGGGGAGUACGGCCGCAAGGUUAAAACUCAAAUGAAUUGACGGGGGCCCGCACAAGCGGUGGAGCAUGUGGUUUAAUUCGAUGCAACGCGAAGAACCUUACCAUCCCUUGACAUCCACAGAAGGACUUAGAGAUAGGUCUGUGCCUUCGGGAACUGUGAGACAGGUGCUGCAUGGCUGUCGUCAGCUCGUGUUGUGAGAUGUUGGGUUAAGUCCCGCAACGAGCGCAACCCUUAUCCUUAGUUGCCAGCACGUAAAGGUGGGAACUCUAGGGAGACUGCCGGUGAUAAACCGGAGGAAGGUGGGGACGACGUCAAGUCAUCAUGGCCCUUACGGGAUGGGCUACACACGUGCUACAAUGGCGCAUACAAAGGGAAGCGAGCUGGCGACAGUAAGCGGAUCUCAAAAAGUGCGUCGUAGUCCGGAUCGGAGUCUGCAACUCGACUCCGUGAAGUCGGAAUCGCUAGUAAUCGCGGAUCAGAAUGCCGCGGUGAAUACGUUCCCGGGCCUUGUACACACCGCCCGUCACACCAUGGGAGUGGGCUGCACCAGAAGUAGAUAGCUUAACCUUCGGGAGGGCGUUUACCACGGUGUGGUUCAUGACUGGGGUGAAGUCGUAACAAGGUAACC
rnacentral:rRNA from 1 species